rnacentral:sRNA from 1 species
ACGACAAGAAAAACAAUCGCUUCAAUGAUGGGAAGGUGGAUCCUGCCGGGAGGUACUUUGCUGGGAAAAGACUUCAUACUGUGAAGUUGCCUGUUGAUAAAACAACUUCAUGCUGCUUUGGAGGGAAGAAUUACUCUGAAAUGUAUGUGACCUGUGCCCGGGAUGGGAUGGACCCCGAGGGUCUUUUGAGGCAACCUGAAGCUGGUGGAAUUUUCAAGAUAACUGGUCUGGGGGUCAAAGGAAUUGCUCCCUACUCCUAUGCAGGAUGAGGACAGGUCUUCUUUCCUGCCAGAGGGAGCUCUGAAGACAACUAGAGAAUUCUGGGCCGGAAAUUUCAAUCUAGUUAGAAAGAAAAAUGAGGCAAUGAUAUUAUUAACAGCGUUAAGUUUUAAUUUACAACUUUUAAAAGGCAGAGCAUUUUUAACAAGGGGUGACAGAUGGUUUUGAUAACACACUUAUAAGGCUUUCUGUAAAAGGUACUAUAGAAGGGCGAAGAAUCGUUUAACUGUCAAUCAGCCUCUUGAUUCUUUGUAAAUUGCCAGGGUGGGUGGGUACAUAUCUCUUCUUGAUUUUGCAUUUCAUACUUAACUAUAUUAAAGCGUCAAGGAACAAUAAAUAGUAACCUGGUAA